rnacentral:rRNA from 1 species
UACGGAGGAUCCAAGCGUUAUCCGGAUUCAUUGGGUUUAAAGGGUGCGUAGGCGGAAUAGUAAGUCAGUGGUGAAAGCCUGCAGCUUAACUGCAGAACUGCCAUUGAUACUGCUAAUCUUGAGUACAUAUGAAGUGGGCGGAAUGUGUAGUGUAGAGGUGAAAUUCUUAGAUAUUACACAGAACACCGAUUGCGAAGGCAGCUCACUAAAAUGUAACUGACGCUGAGGCACGAAAGCGUGGGGAUCAAACAGG